rnacentral:rRNA from 1 species
AAGGCCUUCCGAGUNUUAACUGCUUUUUNNNGGNANUAAUUCUGAAUGUACUCCAGAUAGCACCGNAAAUCACGUGCCAGCAGCCGCGGUAAUACGUGAGGUGNAAACAUUACCCGGANUUAUUGGGCGUAAAGCGUCCGCAGGUGGCGUGGUAAGUAGGGUAUUAAUCUUGAGGCUCAACUUCAAGUCUGUGCUCUAAACUGCCAUGCUAGAGAAAGGGAGAGGUGAGUGGAAUUUCUACAUGUAGGGGUAAAAUCCGUAGAUAUGUAGAGGAACACCAAAAGCGAAGGCAGCUCACUGGCCCUUUUCUGACACUCAGGGACGAAAGCGUGGGGAGCGAACGGGAUUAGAUACCCCGGUAGUCCACGCUGUAAACGAUGAUCACUCGAUGUCGGGAGUUCGACCCUCUCGGUGUCUAAGCAAACGCGAUAAGUGAUCCGCCUGAGAACUACGAUCGCAAGAUUAAAACUCAAAGGAAUAGACGGGGACCCACACAAGCGGUGGAGCGUGUGGUUCAAUUCGAUAGUAAGCGAGGAACCUUACCAGGGUUUGACAUCCUCCGAAUUUUCUGGAAACAGAGAAGUGCCGUAAGGAACGGAGAGACAGGUGCUGCAUGGUUGUCGUCAGCUCGUGCCUUGAGGUGUUCGGUUAAGUCCGUAAACGAGCGCAACCCACGUCCUUUGUUGUAUUUUUCAAAGGAGACUGCCUAGCAUAACUAGGAGGAAGGUGUGGAUGACGUCAAAUCAGCAUGGCCCUUAUACCCUGGGCGACACACGCGCUACAAUGGCCGGUACAACGGGCAGCCAAGGAGUAAUCCGGAGCGAAUCCCUAAAACCGGUCCAAGUUCGGAUUGAGGGCUGCAACUCGCCCUCAUGAAGCUGGAAUCGCUAGUAAAUGUGUAUCAGCCACGGCGCAUUGAAUAUGUUCCUGGGUCUUGUACUCACCGCCCGUCAAGUCAUGAAGGGUUGGGGUGCCCGAAAUUCCCGCUCAGCGGGGCUUGAGGCAAAACAACUGAUUGGGACUAAGUCGUAACAAGGUAAC